AAUUUUGGACAAUGGGGGAAACCCUGCUCCAGCCAUCCCGCGUGUAUGAUGAGGGCCUUCGUGUUGUAAAGUACUUUUGGCAUAGAAGAUAAGGUACCUCCUAAUACGAUGUACUGCUGACGGUAUCUGCAGACUAUACACCGGCUAACUACGUUCCGCCAGCCGCGGUAAUACGUAGGGUGCAAGCGUUAAUCGGAAUUACUGGGCGUAAAGGGUGUGUAGGCGGUUCGGAAAGAAAGAUGGGAAAUCCCAGGGCUCAACCUUGGAACUGCAUUUUUAACUGCCGAGCUAGAGUAUGGCAGAGGAGGGUAGAAUUCCACGUGUAGCAGUGAAAUGCGUAGAUAUGUGGAGGAAUACCGAUGGCGAAGGCAGCCCCCUGGGAUAAUACUGACGCUCAGACACGAAAGCGUGGGGAGCAAACA
rnacentral:rRNA from 1 species